rfam:Betacoronavirus England 1, complete genome.
CACUGAUUAGUGUCACUCAAAGUAACAAGAUCGCGGCAAUCGUUUGUGUUUGGUAACCCCAUCUCACCAUCGCUUGUCCACUCUUGCACAGAAUGGAAUCAUGUUGUAAUUACAGUGCAAUAAGGUAAUUAUAACCCAUUUAAUUGAUAGCUAUGCUUUAUUAAAGUGUGUAGCUGUAGAGAGAAUGUUAAAGACUGUCACCUCUGCGUGAUUGCAAGUGAACAGUGCCCCCCGGGAAGAGCUCUACAGUGUGAAAUGUAAAUAAAAAUAGCUAUUAUUCAAUUAGAUUAGGCUAAUUAGAUGAUUUGC